rnacentral:rRNA from 1 species
CUGCAGAGAGUGUGGCCCCCCUUCGUGGUCGGUAGUUACAGGUGGUGCAUGGCUGUCGUCAGCUCGUGUCGUGAGAUGUUGGGUUAAGUCCCGCAACGAACGCAACCCUAUCUUAUGUUGCCAGCACGUUAUGGUGGGGACUCGUAAGAGACUGCCGGGGUCAACUCGGAGGAAGGUGGGGACGACGUCAAGUCAUCAUGCCCCUUAUGUCCAGGGCUUCACACAUGCUACAAUGGCCAGUACAGAGGGCUGCGAGACCGUGAGGUGGAGCGAAUCCCUUAAAGCUGGUCUCAGUUCGGAUCGGGGUCUGCAACUCGACCCCGUGAAGUCGGAGUCGCUAGUAAUCGCAGAUCAGCAACGCUGCGGUGAAUACGUUCCCGGGCCUU